rnacentral:rRNA from 1 species
GACAGAGGGUGCAAACGUUGCUCGGAAUUACUGGGCGUAAAGCGCGUGUAGGCGGAUUUGUGUGUCAGAUGUGAAAUCCCUGGGCUCAACCCAGGAACUGCAUUUGAAACUGCAAGUCUAGAGUGGUGAAGAGGGAAGCGGAAUUCCUGGUGUAGAGGUGAAAUUCGUAGAUAUCAGGAGGAACACCGGUGGCGAAAGCGGCUUCCUGGGCACAUACUGACGCUAAGACGCGAAAGCGUGGGGAGCAAACAGG